GCUUUCAGUCUUCCAUGGGCAAUCCCCUCCCGCCAUAAAAUCACUGACCACUUUCUUCACAGGGAGAGAGAGAGAGAGAUCAGAGAUGGAGUUCAGUGUAAGCGGCAACGCGCUCAAGACCUUCGCUAGGUCUAUAAUCUGCCUCGCACGCGUCGGCAACGAGCUCGUCGUUCAAGCUUCGCCCACACAGCUAGGGUUGCACACUUUGAAUGCUUCACGUUCUGCCUAUCAGUCUAUCACAUUCGAGUCAAGUUUCUUUGAUGCUUAUACUGUUCAAGGUCCUCAAGCUCAUUUCAGUGUCCUUUUGAAGGCUGUUUGUUCUGUUCUUAGGACCCCUGUCGCUAGCAUUGAGCAGAUGAGUGUGAAUUUGCCAGAUCAUGACGCAUCUAAAGUCAAGUGGGCAUUGGAAUGUCACAGUGGUAUGAAGAAAACAUAUUGGAUUACUUGCAAUGUGGAACCGGAUAUACAGCAUCUGUCGCUUGAUAGGAGUAGGUUUCCGAGUGGUUUAGUUGUGCAUCCUCGGAAUCUCAGCAAGUUGCUUGGAAACUUCCAGUCAUCCCUCCAAGAGAUUACAAUAAUUGCUACAGACCAAACUUCUUUUCCCUCUGAUGCUGCAAGUGAAAUUGGUGGGAAAGCUGUUGAGUUCCGGAGCUACGUGGAUCCGACCAAAGAUGGUGAUUCUUUGUUGCAUACUCAGCUAUGGAUAGAUCCAUCAGAAGAAUUUUUGCAGUAUACUCACACAGGUGAUCCUAUUGAUAUCACAUUUUCCUUGAAGGAACUAAAGGCUUUUCUUUCAUUUUGUGAGGGCUGUGAAGCUGACAUUCAUCUCUUUUUCGAAAAAGCUGGCGAGCCAAUACUGAUGGCUCCAAAAUUUGGCUUGGGUGAUGGGUCAAGCUCAAGUUUUGAUGCCACACUCGUUCUUGCGACGAUGCUUGUGUCUCAGCUUCAGGAAGGGGUUCCGCCAGGACCUCCGGAAGCAGCGAACUCUACAGGUGGUCAUGGUGCCGAGCAAGUGGGAUCAGAGCCUCAAGAACGGUCUAGACAGAGUGCCGUUGAGCAACCAUCUGAUCACACACGAGUUUGGUCUGAACUUUCAGGAACUGGCACUAAGAGCGUUAACGGUUCAGCGGAGAGGCCACAGGCUCAGGGACAACAAGACGUGAAUAUCCAAAGAAUUAGAGAUAUGGAAAUAUCAAAAGAUGGACCACCAGCUGGAGACAAUGUUCCCGGACCUUCUAACUCCCAACGUCCUACACAGAUUCAUCACGCCGAAGGAUCCCGAGUACGAGCUGAGAACUACCAAAACUUCUCCCAGCGCCAUCCUAGUAAUUGGGUAGAUGCAAGUGAGGAUGAAGAUGAGGACGACGGUGUUGAGGCGACGCCACCUCAUAAUGAAGAUUAUUAACUCAAAAGUCUCUUCCCCCUUGAAGUCAUCUCAUUUUAAAUGUUCUUCAAAAAGACCAAGUUUCAUCUUGGCCGAUAGAGCGGUAAUGAAAAAGGACAAACCGGUCAACCAUCUGCUGCCUAGCGAUGCCCAUUGCUUCACCCAUUAAUUACGUAAAGGCCAUUAUCUAGCUUUUCGGCUCUCUGAGUCUGAUGCAAAUAAAUUAAACAUUUGUGAGGGUUAACUUGAAACUUAUAAUAACAUUGUAUAUAAACUAAGAAUUUGUCCAUUCAAUACUCAAGUUUCUAUUGUUAAAUAGAUAGUAUUUGUGAAAAGAAUCUUGUUAAAAAUGUUGCAAUGGAACAAAAUUGUAAUUUUCAAAUUUUAUGUUGAAGCCGUCCUAAUUAACUAGACAAGUCAUGGGUGCACGAAAAACAUAUCUAAUGAAACUUGAGAGUAAGCCAGCGAAUAUUUCAAAGCCUAGAGAGAGACUUUAAUUUAUGAGUUUAUUAAUACGAAGCAUAUGCGACAAUUGCGCAUAAAUCAUUUUUCGAGUAAUAAACAAAACAAAAAACGCGUACCUGCUCUUAAGAAAAUGAAUAAAGGAAUGUCAUUUUCGUUAAUAUACCCACAUAUAAGCCCGUUAUAAUAAAUUUCUCAUGUUAUAAGAAGUUAGACAGCAAUG